GCGGGCUUAGCGCAGUUGGUAGCGCGCCACCUUGCCAAGGUGGAGGUCGCGGGUUCGAACCCCGUAGCCCGCUCCA
rnacentral:tRNA from 26 species